GACGAACGCUGGCGGCGUGCUUAACACAUGCAAGUCGAACGGUAAGGCCCUUCGGGGUACACGAGUGGCGAACGGGUGAGUAACACGUGGGUGAUCUGCCCUGCACUUCGGGAUAAGCCUGGGAAACUGGGUCUAAUACCGGAUAGGACCACUGCCUGCAUGGGUGGUGGUGGAAAGCUUUUGCGGUGUGGGAUGGGCCCGCGGCCUAUCAGCUUGUUGGUGGGGUGAUGGCCUACCAAGGCGACGACGGGUAGCCGGCCUGGGAGGGUGACCGGCCACACUGGGACUGCUAUACGGCCCAGACUCCUACGGGAGGCAGCAGUGGGGAAUAUUGCACAAUGGGCGCAAGCCUGAUGCAGCGACGCCGCGUGAGGGAUGACGGCCUUCGGGUUGUAAACCUCUUUCAGCACCGACGAAGCGCAAGUGACGGUAGGUGCAGAAGAAGGACCGGCCAACUACGUGCCAGCCGCCGCAGUAA
rnacentral:rRNA from 1 species